rnacentral:rRNA from 1 species
UACGGGAGGCAGCAGUGGGGAAUAUUGCACAAUGGGCGAAAGCCUGAUGCAGCUAUGCCGCGUGUAUGAAGAAGGCCUUAGGGUUGUAAAGUACUUUCAUCGGGGAGGAAAAAACAAAACUAAUAAUUUUAUUUCUUGACGUUACCCGAAAAAGAAGCACCGGCUAACUCCGUGCCAGCAGCCGCGGUAAUACGGAGGGUGCUAGCGUUAAUCAGAAUUACUGGGCGUAAAGAGCACGUAGGUGGUUUUUUUAAGUCAGAUGUGAAAUCCCUGGGCUUAACCUAGGAACUGCAUUUUGAAACUGAAAUACUAGAGUAUCGUAGAGGGAGGUAGAAUUCUAGGUGUAGCGGUGAAAUGCGUAGAUAUCUGGAGGAAUACCUGUGGCGAAAGCGGCCUCCUAAACCGAAUACUGACACUGAGGUGCGAAAGCGUGGGGAGCAAACAGGGAUUAGAUACC